rnacentral:rRNA from 1 species
UAGGGAAUCUUCCACAAUGGACGAAAGUCUGAUGGAGCAACGCCGCGUGAGUGAAGAAGGUUCUCGGAUCGUAAAACUCUGUUGUGAGGGAAGAACAAGUAACGGAGUAACAGCCGGUACCUUGACGGUACCUCAUUAGAAAGCCACGGCUAACUACGUGCCAGCAGCCGCGGUAAUACGUAUGUGGCAAGCGUUGUCCGGAAUCAUUGGGCGUAAAGCGCGCGCAGGCGGUCCCAUAAGUCUGAGGUGAAAGCCCACGGCUCAACCGUGGAGGGGCAUUGGAAACUGGGGGACUUGAGUGCAGGAGAGGAAAGCGGAAUUCCAAGUGUAGCGGUGAAAUUCGUAGAUAUUUGGAGGAACACCAGUGGCGAAGGCGGCUUUCUGGUCUGUAACUGACGCUGGGGCGCGAAAGCGUGGGGAGCAAACAGG